GGACUGCCUAGGUUUAGGUCUCAUUUCUACUGUUUUCCUGCUGGGUGACUUUGGGCAAUUGACUUAAUCUCCCCGUGCCCCAGUUUUCUCAGCUGCAAAGUGAGGAACAGAAUAGAAACCACCUCACCGUCGCUGCAACGAUUAAGUGCACUAAAAUCUGUAAAAUUCUUACGGCAACGUCUGGCACGUCGUGAGUGCUAGUAAAGUGCGUACUAUUGUGGCCAGCAGCAAACUCAUCUCCUUUAGUGUUCUGUCAAUUAAUUUACAUUCCUUGACCUUUGACAUUGACUUAAGCCAAUAAAAAAAAAAAAAAAAAGGAAAGCAAGAGAAAAGAAAAAAGAAUUAAAAAGUGUCAUUUGGAAUUUGGUAGAAGGAAUAUAAAUUAUUCUCAUCCCAAUAUAAAUUAUUUGCGUACUCUCUUACCAAAACCACUUCGGAUUAAGUAAACCACACUUCCUCCCCGUUGUGUGAAGCAUCAGGAUUCAGUACAAUGGUGCUCUGAGAAUGAAAAUGCCACUCUACUCACAUACACCGAAGGCUUAGUGACAGUACUAAAUGAAGGAGACAUCAGGCUGUAUCAUACAGGAUACUCUGCGGUAUAAGCUACCUAGGAGACAUUGCAUUUACGCAGUUUCAACCACUGUUUAACCAUUUUAUAACAUAAUAUCAUGAUUGUGUUCAAACUUCUCAACAUGUUCCAGCAAAGUAAAGGGGUUCUAAGAGAAGCAGGAUCAUUAUCCAGCAACGACCCAUCACGACCAAUCAAACCGCAGCUAACUGAACCCGGAAAAACUGCUGACUUACAAGGUGCUGGGCCCCAUGAGUCUGCAAAGCACCCAGAAGACUGCGAACCACACUUCCUGUGCCAGAAAAGACAUGUGUGCAACUCAUCUGGGAUGAAGGAAAAACCAUUCUUUUUCUUUAAGAGUUCAUUAGAUUAAAACAACUAUGCAAAAACAAACAGAAGAAAUAUAUAAUGAUGUCAUAUUGAAUGUCACAGACUGAAACCACCCAGGUCAUGGGGAACUAAGGAUUUGAAAUAAUGUAUGGACCACGGAGAGGAAAAAGGAACAAGGCGAGCAAUGCAUGAGGGAAGAAGAUAGAACAUAGAGAGGAGUGAAUUAAUGUGUGUGCUUAAUUCACUUAGGGAAGAGCGCCGACUCAUUGUGAGCCCAGGAUCGAGGAGACUUGCAUACAUUUCCACUAUACUGCCUGGAUUUUGAUACUAUGGAUAUAGCAUUGAUGACAGUCUUUGGUGCUAAAUGAUGCUUUGACCAAGUAGAUGUUCAGAUAAGUUCUGCCAGGACACACAAAUAGCACUUUCAUCGGCCGCUGCUCCAAGGGAACUGCUUCUGUUAUGUGUACUUUGCUAGUGUUUUCCAGAGAGACUGAAGCUGUUUAGCCUCAGAGCUUUAUAGAUUAUUCUUUUUUUGGAAAAUACUGAGAGUCACCACUAUCUGCUUUGAAUGUUUCGUAUUUUAAUGCAUAAGAAAUAUGUGUGCAAUGGGUGAGUAGAUGAUACUUUUUUAAAAUUGCAAAUUGUAAAAUAUAACCGAACUCUUAAACACCAUACAAUCAGAAUCACGAAAGCAAGCUACUCAGAAAUGGAGUCUCAAUGCCGACUAUAGAUCUUUUGUCAGAACUAAGAAACUACAAAUCAACAUGUGGCCAUCUUCAGCCUCUUGUAAGGUCUUUAGAUAUGACACCAUGAGGUCAAGACAUAGAACUCCGAGUGUGCAUGUGUUUUCAUGUUUAUAUACUUUGAAUUUGCUUUGUGCCCACUAAUUUAUUAAGUACCUUCCUCCUUUCAGUUAAUCCAGUACUAAGGGGGCACUACAUUUUUGUAUAAAAUGGGUUUUAAGCUUUGCCCAAAGGGGAAAUACAUCAUUAUUUUUCAAGGAUUUUUCUUUUUGGAAAGCAUCACGGUGUGUGUUAACAUACAUAAGAGAUUUAAUCUCAGUAAAUGUGAAAGCUAGCUUUCUUAAAUGAUUUUCUUUCCCCAAGUUGACCUAACAGGUAUAGAAGAGAGUCUGCACGUAUUUCAAUUUACAUGCAGGAAAAUGACAAUGAGCUUACAAGAAAGCAUUAUUUAUAGUGUCAGUUCCUGCCUUGCUAAAAUUUGGUGAUUCAGUUAUUCAAACCAUGUAACAGAAUAGAUUUAGUGUAAAUACAAGUUUUAAAAAGAGAUUUUCUUUGCUGAUAAGACCAGAAGCUGAAACACAGACAGAAUUGAAGUCUGUGUAGUAAAUUCAGAGUUUCUCUGUUACUAACCAGAGAGACAAUUUUCUGAAAUGCUCGUUUACAGUGAUCAUUCAUCUGGAUUUCUUUAACAUUUAGAAUGGACCGGGGGAAGCUCAAAUCUGAAUGGAGGAGAAGAAAUAGUUGGAUUUGAUCCUAGUUAGUACAUUAAAAUAUCUAAGUAAGCACCUAUAAGAUGGGCAGUAAUGUAACUUGGAUUUUGUUUUAGUAACCAUAUAGGGCUAUCAUUGUUAUUUUUCCUGUGAUCAUUAGUCAUUAAUGUUAUUGGUGACACUGGAGUAUAGCAUUUUAAUUUUGCAUAGUUGUGAUAUAAGUUACUUAUUUGCAACUUGUGCAUAGGGCUUUGAAUAUUAAAAGACACAUUUACCAAGGGCCUGGAAUUAAAACCAAUGGGGGAUAUACGCCUGCAGAACAUGAGCUAGUCAAUGAAAGAGGAAAAGAUCGAUCGUAUCCUCAGAUACUGAUCAAAUUUAUUUUUAAAAUGGAAGAAAGUCUCCCGUAGCGAAGCACAGAAAUUGAGCCAAACAUUUGGAAAUAGGUCUUGUG